UACGUAGGGGCCGAGCGUUGUCCGGAGUUAUUGGGCGUAAAGCGCGCGCAGGCGGCUUGACGCGCCCGACGUGAAAGCCCCCGGCUUAACCGGGGAGGGUCGUCGGGUACGGUCAGGCUUGAGGGCGGGAGAGGGUGGUGGAAUUCCCGGUGUAGUGGUGAAAUGCGCAGAUAUCGGAAGGAACACCAGUGGCGAAGGCGGCACUCUGGGCCAGUACUGACACUGAGGAGCGAAAGCGUGGGUAGCGAACAGG
rnacentral:rRNA from 1 species